ensembl:rRNA 5S_rRNA 5S ribosomal RNA
UGCUACAGCCAUACCACUCUGAAUGUGCCUAACUCAUCUCUUCUCAGAAGCUAAGCAGAGCUGGGCCUGGUUAGUACUUUGAUGGUAGGAAGGUAAAACUUGCAAUGGAGCCU